rnacentral:tRNA from 1 species
AGGCUAUUAGCUCAAUGGGUUAGAGUACUCGACUCUUAAUCGAGAUGUUUAGGGUUCAAGUUCCUAAUAGCCUACCA